UUUAUCACUCCCUAAAGGGCCAGGGAUAAGUGAAUAAUUAGACAAUUUAAAGGGCAAAGCGUGGUAAAUUUGUCCUACUACUGUAGCAAGUUUCACUCCAAUAGUUUUAAAAAUAAGGGAUAUAGCAGCCCCUGAAGUUUCCCCAAUAGUAACGGAGGAGCGAUAUGCUUGCUUUAAAACUACAUGUCCCAGAUGCCCCAGUUCCUCUUCCCUCUUAACAUUCCCCACCCCCCUUUUGUCCUCACUCUUUCCUUAUUAAUAACAUGGACCAUCUUGACCAGACUUGGACAUCUGUGAAUUCUUGGAAGGUUGGCAGAAGCUGGAGCUAACAGCGGGCGCUCACUCCGCUCCCGGGAUUGGAACCUGGGACCUUUCGGUCUGCAAGUUCAGCAGCUCAGUGCUUUAACACACUUCGCCACCGGGGCUCCGGUGUUAAAACACAAGUUACAAUCCACGGAUAAAAUGCAGGUCAAAAUUCACAACUUACAACUAACUGACUGGGUAAGUUUUCUGCAAGAGAUGUUGCGCCUUAAAUUCUGACGGAUUUAGCUGUCAAAUCUUUUGAAUCAGUUCAUUCUACAAUCUUGAAGCAACUGAUGAAAAGGUCUGGGAUGCUGUGAAUCUUUUGGGCUAUAUGGCCAUGUUCCACUUGCUUUACUGCCAACAGAAUCUCUGAAGAUGCCGGACACAGGUGCAGGUGAAACAUCAGUGGAGAAUGCUACUGAAACAUGACCAUACAGGCUGAAAAACUCACAGCAACCCAGUGAUUCCAGCCAUGAAAGCCUUUGACAAUAUGAUGAAAAGGUCCUCUGGUUA
rnacentral:lncRNA from 1 species